rnacentral:rRNA from 1 species
AUGAACGCUGGCGGCGUCCCUAAUACAUGCAAGUCGAGCGAACGGACGAGAAGCUUGCUUCUCUGAUGUUAGCUGCGGACGGGUGAGUAACACGUGGAUAACCUACCUAUAAGACUGGGAUAACUUCGGGAAACCGGAGCUAAUACCGGCUAAUAUUUUGAACCGCAUGGUUCAAAAGUGAAAGACGGUCUUGCUGUCACUUAUAGAUGGAUCCGCGCUGCAUUAGCUAGUUGGUAAGGUAACGGCUUACCAAGUCAACGAUGCAUAGCCGACCUGAGAGGGUGACCGGCCACACUGGAACUGAGACACGGUCCAGACUCCUACGGGAAGCAGCAGUAGGGAAUCUUCCGCAAUGGGCGAAAGCCUGACGGAGCAACGCCGCGUGAGUGAUAAAAGUCUUCGGAUCGUAAAACUCUGUUAUUAGGGAAGAACAUAUAUGUAAGUAACUGUGCACAUCUUGACGAUACCUAAUCAGAAAACCACGGCUAACUACGUG